rnacentral:rRNA from 1 species
AUUGAACGCUGGCGGCAGGCUUAACACAUGCAAGUCGAGCGAGCGGCGGACGGGUGAGUAAUGUCUGGGAAUCUGCCUGGUAGUGGGGGAUAACGUCCGGAAACGGGCGCUAAUACCGCAUACUAUCAGAUGUGCCCAGAUGGGAUUAGCUAGUAGGUGGGGUAAUGGCUCACCUAGGCGACGAUCCCUAGCUGGUCUGAGAGGAUGACCAGCCACAUUGGAAAUGAGACACGGUGCAGACUCCUACGGGAGGCAGAAGUGGGGAAUAUUGCACAAUGGGCGCAAGGCUGAUGCAGCCAUGCCGGGUGUGUGAAGAAGGCCUUCGGGUUUUAAAGCAAUUUAAGCGAGGAGGCGGGAGUAGCAGAAGAAGCACAGGCUAACUUCGUGCCAGCAGCCGCGGUAAUAC